CUCAAAUUUCCCAGACAGGACUAGGAGCUCAUUGUCUUGCUGGUGUAUAAACGUGUGGAAAAAUGCAGACCUUCUCCCACAAUCAGGGAUCCGAAAAGAUUAUAUAAAAUGGCAGACAAACGUUAGUGGUCACUUCUUUGAAUUUUGCUGAUGAUAGUACUUGCCUACUUUUGAAGAGUAUGUAAAGACCUGAGCACUGCAUUCAUGAAAACCAUGCUAACCAUGUCUGACAAUUACAAUUUAGAAAACAAACAACUGCUUCAGCUUACAGGAAGAGCAAAAUAGUGCUCAAUUCCAAGAUAGUAAGACUUGUUAGAAAAGCAAAACAAAACAUUGUUAUCUGCUGUUUUUCUCCUGGUUUGGAAAAGUGCCAAAUUUGCAUGCUGUGGGGGCUUGUAGAAGCUUUAAAUUAUAAAGACUAACUCUACAUUUUUAGUAGUGCUUUGUGUCAGUGACCUGGCUUCCACACCCUUUGCUACAAUAUACAGGAUUUAUAUUCUAAAUAUAUGAAUCAAUACCAUUGCAAGGCUGGAAAGCACAAACUUUCCAUGAACUUAACAGUGUUGUGAAACCAGUGAAGCUAUGUUGAAGUUAUGUUGCAUUGAAGUGGUUUACUGUUACGGGUGAUGAGGAUGGUGCUGUACUUUACCUUUGUAAUGUAAUGUCAGAAAGAAGAAAAACUGCUGCUUUCCACUACACAUUUUGUGGCCCACUUGCAAGUUGUACAUAGAGUGGUACUGUGACUCCAAAAUCUCUUCCAUCCUCUAAGGAGAUUGAGGAGAUGAGAGGACAAGGAGGAUCAAGGAGACGAAGGAAGAGCUAAUCUCAGCUGGCAGGAGAAGAUGUGGUUCAGCAUACUGAAUCGUCCUUCUUUCUUUAGGAAUCUGUUGUUCUGGGAGGAAAACUGAUGAACUGGCUCAGAUCUACUGGAAGUACAAAUCAAAAUGUGAUGUCAUUAUUGCCAAAUUAUGAAAAAAAUACUGCCUGUGAAAUAUGAAUGUGAAAUACUGCCCAGAAAAUGGGGUAUAUACUGUUCAGAUACAUUUGCAGGGGUGGUUCAAGGAGGCAGAAAAUUAGGACUCCAAAUUUGUAACAAAGACUGAAAAUGAUACUGUGUUACUUCACUUUUUGUUAUGGAGUUCAUUGCCUUAUACUCAUCUUAAUGUAGGCUCAGUGCAGCUAUCAGGAAAAACCCCAAACUGUUCUGGCUUCAGCAUCUACCAGCUGCAAAAUCAUUAUUCUUAAUGGUGAGGCAAGAUCCAAUAACAACAACAUCAUCAUCAUCCUGGGAUCUUUCAAACCAAGUGGUCUUUGUAUUACAUCAUAUUUGGAAAAUGGUAUUUCCAACAGCACAGUCAUUGCUGACAUUGUAACGAACGCACUAGUUCACCAUUCCUACCCUCCCUUUACCUUUGCCUUUGCCUUUGCCUUUCACUUUUCCUUUCCCCUUCCCCUUCCCCCCUUCCCCUUCCCUUGCUUUCCCUUGCCUUGCCUUGCCUGUACUAAAGAGGCCCAGCACACUUUCAGAAGAUCUAUCAAGAUAAUUACCUACAGUGGAGUUGCUGUAGUGGUUUUUAGAUGAGAUUUUGACUAAUCAACAUUUCAGACCUACUCUGACAGGCAGAGCACAGGAGGAGGAAGAGGAGGAGGAGGAGAGGUAAUGUUACCCAUGUCUCACAAUUUGUAACACAGGAAAUAAUACUAACUGCUGACUGGAAAGGAGGGGAAGGCACAAAGAAAUGUGAUGAUAAAUGUCUUUGUAAGUGCAUGCUCAUUUACCACAGUUGAAGAACUGAAAUUAAAUGACAGCUGCUGAAACAUGAGAAAUACAAAGAGAGAGGAAGAUCAUAAGCAAUGGUAAAAGGAUUAUACUUUUUAACAUAGAAAACCUCAGAAUAAGAAGAGACAAUCCAGGCAGAGAACAAACGAAGGCUAGGAAAACUCUCAAACCCUUACCCUGAGGAUUGAAACUUGAAAUUUAUUUUAUUAUCUGUCUGGCAAAGACGCCUUUGUGUUCAGUCUACCCCUCUGUCGGAUUACAUGAACACACAGCUAGUGCACAGAGAUUUCAAAAAAGUGGAAGGCAUAUAUCUGUGGGCUAAUAUUACUCCAUAAAAUAAACUUUCUGCAUGAAGGUGACUGAGCAAGAGCUAUACUUACAUCAUCUUGGUUCAGAACCCUCUGCCGAUCGACAGACUAGCACUGUAACCGCAGUGAUGAGUCUUCAGUAGAUGACUAAUUCUAACAUUGCUAUUUUGGUGGAAAACUUGAACUGAGUAUUGCAUAUGAAUUGAAGAGACAUCACCCAGGGCUCAAAGCCUUCAGUAGCAUACAAAAAGUAAUAAAUUUUUUUUCUAGUCAGUGGCAACAUGUGAGCAAGAAGUGAACUUCUGCUUUACCUGCUCUCCUGAGACAGCAGCUUGAUGCAUGCUGUGUGCCCACAGUACAUUGCAUAUGUCAGAGGAGUGUUUUCAUUGAUGUCUCGAGGGCUGCUGUCUAUCCCCAGUUCUAGCAGUGUCUGCACACAGUCAGCUUUCCCUGCUGCUGCAGCCCAGUGCAAAGGCGUCCUACAGAAAAGGGGGAGUAUCAUUAAAAUAGAUGAAUAAAUUUACUAUCAAAACUAUUAAUGACAUAAUGAGGUGUGCUCCUAUGCUACUCGUCCAGAUUCAUGACAUCAGUUUUAAGGAAUUCUCCAGCAACUUAUCCCACAUUGAUGUAGCUGCCAGUGGCAGUAAUACGGCCAUAGACUGGCAUCUAUGUGCAUCUAUUUAGCUGUAGAGAAAGUAGAUACAGGGCUGCAGAAUGCCUAUACAUGCUAUAUAAUAGCAUCUCUUCUGCUGCUGGAGUUGCAGACGGGGAGGAGUGCCUGAAGUUUUCAGAGCAGAAUUUGAAAAAAGUAUUUCUAGUGUCCACUGCAUAGGGACAAGCUCUUCUCAUCUUUACACCAAACACAAUUAGCAAUGGUUGGCUCAGGGCUCUCCAUGAAGGCAGUAGGAGAAGAAGCCUCCCCCAGAUGAAUGAGAAGGACUGGACACAUCUACCAGACUGUCAUCGCCCCUUUGCCAGUUUCUCCAUUCUUUGAUGGGCACAGACUGGAGCAGAUAUAAUUGUCUUGAAUCUGUGUAGGAGAAUCAGAUUUUCUGCUUGGCAGAAGAUUUGCGUCUUGUCUUUGGAAACUUUUAUCCAGUUUCCAAAUGGUAAGAUUUUGUUCUUGUGAAAAAUCUGAAAGCGCAGAAAACACCAUAAGAAAACUGUGCAAGAAUAAAGAACAAAAUUGACUUUU